CUAUGCCGCCUUCGCCACGCCCGCUCAGUCAGUAGUUUGAUCCUGCUCGAGGACGAACGCUGGCGGCGUGCUUAACACAUGCAAGUCGAACGAUGAACCCGCUUCGGGUGGGGGAUUAGUGGCGAACGGGUGAGUAACACGUGGGCAAUCUGCCCUGCACUCUGGGACAAGCCCUGGAAACGGGGUCUAAUACCGGAUAUGACCGCCGACCGCAUGGUCUGGUGGUGGAAAGCUCCGGCGGUGCAGGAUGAGCCCGCGGCCUAUCAGCUUGUUGGUGGGUGAUGGCUACCAAGGCGACGACGGGUAGCCGGCCUGAGAGGGCGACCGGCCACACUGGGACUGAGACACGGCCCAG
rnacentral:rRNA from 1 species